rnacentral:rRNA from 1 species
AAUGAAACCAGAUAUGACUUAGUGGCGGACGGGUGAGUAACACGUGAGCAACCUGCCUUUCAGAGGGGGAUAACGGCUGGAAACGGUCGCUAAUACCGCAUGAUGUGUUCGGAUGGCAUCAUCUGAACAUCAAAGAUUUAUCGCUGAAAGAUGGACCCGCGUUGGAUUAGCUAGUUGGUGAGGUAACGGCCCACCAAGGCGACGAUCAGUAGCCGACCUGAGAGGGUGAUCGGCCACAUUGGGACUGAGACACGGCCCAAACUCC